UCCUGGUAGCUCAGAUGGUAAAGUGUCUGCCUGUAAUGCAGGAGAUCCGGGUUCAAUCCCUGGGUCAGGAA
rnacentral:tRNA from 1 species